rfam:Triticum aestivum genome assembly, contig: Triticum_aestivum_CS42_TGACv1_scaffold_030861_1BL
CAAGUACUCCCUCCGUUCGGAAAUACUUGCUGCAUAAAUGGAUCAAAAUAAAUGUAUCUAGAACUAAAAUACAUUUAGAUACAUCCAUUUCGCUGACAAGUAUUUCCGAACGGAGGGUGUAUUUG